UGCCAGCAGCCGCGGUAAAACGUAGGGGGCGAGCGUUAUCCGGAUUUACUGGGCGUAAAGCGCACGUAGGCUGCGCUGUAAGUUGGGCGUGAAAGCUCCUGGCUCAACUGGGAGAGGUCGUUCAAUACUGCAGUGCUUGAGGUUGGAAGAGGAGAGUGGAAUUCCCGGUGUAGUGGUGGAAUGCGUAGAUAUCGGGAGGAACACCAGUGGCGAAGGCGGCUCUCUGGUCCACACCUGACGCUGAGGUGCGAAAGCGUGGGGAGCGAACGGGAUUAGAUA
rnacentral:rRNA from 1 species